CAUAAGAGGUCCUGCCUGCCCAGUGACUAUAUGUUCAACGGCCGCGGUACUUUGACCGUGCGAAGGUAGCGUAAUCACUUGUCUUUUAAAUGGAGACCUGUAUGAAUGGCGCAACGAGGGCUUAACUGUCUCCUUUUUCCAGUCAAUGAAAUUGAUCUUCCCGUGCAGAAGCGGGAAUAAGACCAUAAGACGAGAAGACCCUGUGGAGCUUUAGACACUAAACCGGCCCUUGUCCAAAACCCCCUAUUAAGGGGCUGAACGCUAGAGGAAGACCCGGACUGAUGUCUUCGGUUGGGGCGACCCCGGGGAAAGAAAAACCCCCAAGCGGAGCAGGAGUACAACUCCCCAAACUAAGAGCCGCUACUCAAAGUAUCAGAAAUUUUGACCAACCAUAUGAUCCAGCCUAACGCUGAUCAACGGACCAAGUUACCCCAGGGAUAACAGCGCAAUCCUCUUUUAGAGCCCAUAUCGACAAGAGGGUUUACGACCUCGAUGUUGGAUCAGGACAUCCUAAUGGUGCAGCCGCUAUUAAGGGUUCGUUUGUUCAACGAUU
rnacentral:rRNA from 1 species